rnacentral:lncRNA from 1 species
AACAAUUGCUAAUCUUACAGAAACUAUCUUAAGCAACAAAGCCUAGUAAAGCCUAACUCAUGUAAACAAUAGUAUGUAAUUUAUGCUUUAUAUAAAGAUCACAUAGCUAUUGCCAAUGUCCAUGUCCCUGCAUAGAUAUAGAUAUCCGAAUACAAUUCACAAUCCUAUCCAUAAGCACACAUUUAAUUUUAAACACAAAAGCUAUCAUAUGGUUUAAGACUAUACUUUAAAGCAUACGCCUCAAAACAUAGUACCUAAAAUCUCUGGCCAUUAAGAUAACAUUGGACGUGCUAGUUAACUAAGCAAAAUGUGAUGUUGAAUUAUUUUGAAGAAAAACAGUUACACAUGGCUGAUUUCAAAAUGGCAUAAGUAUCUCAAAUAAAUUUGGAAAAUAAUGUUACAAGCUUUGUUUGAAAGUUGAGAAUGUGUGUGUUCAGUUUGCGAUGAAUUUAAACAAGUUUGAAUGAAAGAAUCCAUUGAAAUCAAAAGGAAAAAACAGUAAAAUAAUAAGAAAUGCAGUAUUUCCUGAUGCAGACUCUCAACUUCGGAAAAUCAUAACUUAAUCUACAAAACUCCUUAUUAAGAGAUUCAAAUUCAGGAAUAAUAUUUAACAUGUGUACGAUAACUUUUAUGAAGACAACAACUUCAAAUACUAACUGAAAUGCACAGAUUUUAGUAAAAAGGCAGCUGGGUCAAAAACUCAGAAAACUGAUCUGCAGAAUUUCUUACUGCAGACCCUCAACUUUGAAAAAUCAUAUCUUAAUCUAAACAAUUCCUUUUGAAGUGAUUCAAGUUCUGGAACAAUAUUUAAUAUUUCUGCUACAACUUUUAUAAAGAAACCAACUUCAGAUAACCAAUCUAAAUAUACAGCUUUUCAAACAAAGUGACAGACUCCACCUUCAGAUAACUUAUUUCCACUAACCGUAGAUAAGGGAUUCAUGACUUAAAUAACUCGUACUCCUGUCCAAAUAUGCUAAUAUUAACUCCUUGCAUUCCAUAUCUGAUCUCAACUCUCAAAGUAUAGAUUUUCUUCCUUCCACAAUUCCCUCCUAUGAAUCACUUGCUCAAAAUAAUCUUAAUACUCGAAAAUAUCUCAAAAACUUAUGUACCUAUAACUAUACUAAUCUACCAAAGAAAACUUGAAAAUUGUAAAUCUCUAAACUCAGCCAAAUGAUAACUGUGGAACAUAACGCAGAUUCUAGAACCUCAAACUAUCCUCAAUAUGCCCAAGUCUACUCCUAAGACUUCCUACUAUUGUGAUCCCAAGUAUUUACCAAAAAUAAACCAUGCUUAUCACAAAAUCUGGAAACAUGUUCCUAGGAGAACCUAAUUUUACUCCUAAUAACCUUGCACAUGGUCUGCAUAAAUAAUACCCAAGUACUUACAGACUAGUUGUGGAAACCCAAUCUCUCAUGCAUAUCUCUGUUAUAAAAGUUUCUCCAAAACUAGUAAAUGUCUCUUCAAAACAACAAUUCUCCAUAACUAGUUUAGUAAGUGAUCUGCCGAAACUACUCAAAAUAUGUACAUUUUGAUCUAUUCUACAACAUCAACAAUGACCUAGAACCUCCGAGUCUACUCUCCAUUACCAAAAUCCUAUGCAAUUAACCUGAUCAUAAUCCAAAUUUGCACAUCCUUCACUUGAUCACCAGAGAACAAUUGCUAAUCUUACAGAAACUAUCUUAAGCAACAAAGCCUAGUAUGUAAACAAUAGUAUGUAAUUCAUGCUUUAUAUAAAGAUCACAUAGCUAUUGCCAAUGUACAUGUCCCUGCAUAGAAAUAGAUAUCAGAAUACAAUUCACAAACCUAUCUAUAAGCACACAUUUAAUUUUAAACACAAAAGCUAUCAUAUGGCUUAAGAACAUACUUUACCUUAAAGCAUACUCCUCAAAAACAUAGUACCUAAAAUCUCAGGCCAUUAAGAAAGCAUUUGACGUGCUAGAUAACUAAGCAAAAUGUGAUGUAGAUUUAUUUUGAAGAAAAACUGUUACACAUGGCUGAUUUCAAAAUCGCAUAAGUAUCUCAAAUAAAUUUGGAAAAUAAUGUCACAAGCUUUGUUUGAAAGUUGACAAUGUGUGUGUUCAGUUUGUGAUGAAUUUAAACAAUUUUGAAUGAAAAAAUCCAUUGAAAUCAAAAGGAACAAACUGUCAAAUAAUAAGAAAUAGUAAUUCCUGAUACAAAACUCCUUAUUAAGAGAUUCAAAUUCAGGAUUAGUAUUUAACAUGUGUACUAUAACUUUUAUAAGGACAACAACUUCAAAUACUCAACUGAAAUGCACAGAUUUUAGUAAAAAGGCAGCUGGGUCAAAAACUCAGAAAACAGAUCUGCAGCUUUUCAAACAAAGUGACAGACUCCACCUUUAGAUAACCUAUUUCCAGUAACCGUAGAUAAGGGAUUUAUGACUUAUAUAACUCUAACUUCUGUCCAAAUAUGCUAAAAUUAACUCCUUGCAUUCCAUUUCUGUUCUCAACUCUCCAACUAUAGACUUUCUUCCUUCCACAAUUCCCUCCUAUGAAUCACUUCCAUAAGACUUAAGCUCAGGAAAUUUAGACCAACUCUCAAGUUUAAACUCGCUCCUAUUUGCAGGCUAACUAUUUGCUACUACUACAGUGAUAAUAAUUCUAAAUGAUUCUAAUCGUCUCAUCCUUAGCCUAAUCCAAAGGAGAUAAAAUCGUCUCAGUUUUGAAAUCUUGUAAAGCUAAACGACAUAAAAUUUUGAAAUAAGACGGUGAAGAAGAGACGACAACGCUUUGAGUUUGAAGGUCGCGCACCUGACCAACCUCCUUCUACAGCGACAACAUUUUCUGAAAGUUGUUAUAAGUUUGGGCUCGGGUUUACUAACUAUUAGGUCAAGGUUAAGGUCAUGGGCUAAAAAUUCUCCUACUUAAAUCGAAUGAAAACAAAAGCAAAAGAAACUAUGCAACUAUAUUAGUUUUCAGCAUAUAUAUAUAUAUAUAUAAGCCGGAUGUGGAGCGGACGUCCGCACUGGCCUUAAAGUGCUGACGUCCGUCCGUUCUCCACCCUCCGGCGCCGGCGACGGCACGCGUCCACCUCAAAAGACUCCAGCAGCGUCCCCGACCACUUUCCUUCCCCGGUGAGUCCAUUCUUUUCCAGUUUUCCGGCGAGAUCACCCAAAACUUCAAACAAAGUCGAUCUUGCCGGAAAUUGGAAAAAAACGGACUCGCCGGGGAGGGGAAGGUGGUCGGGGACGGCUGCUGGAGUCUUCUGGGGUGGAGGCGCGCCG